GAUGAACGCUGGCGGCGUGCCUAAUACAUGCAAGUCGAGCGAACAGACGAGGAGCUUGCUCCUCUGACGUUAGCGGCGGACGGGUGAGUAACACGUGGAUAACCUACCUAUAAGACUGGGAUAACUUCGGGAAACCGGAGCUAAUACCGGAUAAUAUAUUGAACCGCAUGGUUCAAUAGUUAAAGACGGUUUUGCUGUCUCUUAUAGAUGGAUCCGCGCCGCAUUAGCUAGUUGGUAAGGUAACGGCUUACCAAGGCGACGAUUCGUAGCCGACCUGAGAGGGUGAUCGGCCACACUGGAACUGAGACAGGGAACAGACUCCUACGGGAGGCAGCAGUAGGGAAUCUGCCGCAAUGGGCGAAAGCAUGACGGAGCAACGCCGCGUGAGUGAUGAAGGUCUUCGGAUCGUAAAACUCUGUUAUUAGGGAAGAACAAAUGUGUAAGUAACUAUGCACGUCUUGACGGUACCUAAUCAGAAAGCAACGGCUAACUACGUG
rnacentral:rRNA from 1 species